CAGGAAGUGGCUUUUAUAGGCCAAGAACCAGACACCUGACCAGACACAGCUGAAGAGAGUUGUCACUGAUAACCUUGACUCUACAAGCAAUGGUAUCAGAUCUCAGGUAAAUUUGCAAAAGGCAGGCUGGUGUAGUGGUAAGGAAGAAGUUUAGCACCAUGUAAACCAGGGUUCGAAACCCAGCAGAGUCAGUUCCUCACAGUAUGUUUAGUGGGACAAGGCUGCCCUCUAUAGAUCAAAUAACUAAAUUGCGAUCUGGAAGAUAACUACACCCCAGUGUUGCUAUUGGUUUACCAACUAGUGAAUUUUCCCUUUAAAAGUUAGGACAAAGGGAAGACAAGAGGGUUGGAAAAAAAAAGAGAAAGAGGAGGAAUUGGAAGUUUGGGGACUCCAACUCGGACAUGCAGAGAAACCCAGGACAACAUCUGAGACUAACACUCUAACACUUAGAAUUUUACUGACUUUCUAACCAACACCACCUUUCACCAUAACUCAUGCACCUACAGACAUCCAAAUAAGUUCCUGAGACUAUCUACCAAUCGGAUGAAAUAUCUAC